rnacentral:lncRNA from 1 species
CUUUUGUUUGGUCUUCAAAACAACCCAUACACUAAACACCAUUUCUAUUUUAUAGAUGAGAAAAAGUGAAGUCUACAUAUAAAGAAAAUGUGUCCAAAAUGAUGGUGCUAAAAUGUAUGGAGCACUCAGGGCUGACAGAGACCAAAGCAAUAUGGAAGCCAUCACUAUGAAGCACAGGAUUGGUUAAGACAUCAGUCAGUAAACUUAGGUUGCCCCACAUGGAUUCCCCAUGAGGAUGAUGCACCAGGAAGAACUCUUCAUCUCCCGGAUGCCUGGGUACGCAUGCCUUGGAGUGAAAGACCUCGAGCCACUUGACAGCUUGGCCAUGAACUUCUUAGACAGUAACUAUGCAAGCGCUUCCAGAAAUCAUCAGAGGUCCACGAGCCUGAAGGGGAUGAGCCAGAAGGGAAGCAGUGUGAAGACUCAAGACCACAGAGCCUGGUGGGCCCCAUGGAUGCCGAUCUCCAUCUUAGGGGCAAUCUAGAGGCAUUGAAGAGUUUCAUCACUGGGGAGCCAAGAGGUUCUAUUUGCAUUUUAUAAAAAUUUGAGCUUCAGUGUAGAGACUAAAUUAGAACAAGGCCUAAGAGGAUACAGGAGCUCUUAGGAGGGAAUUGCGUAUAAGAGAAUGUAAAAUAGGGAGAAGCAGCGCAGAUACAGAGAAUAGGAACAGGUUCAAACUGAAAUGGUUCCAGGACUUAUAAGACAGACAUACACAGACCAAAACUCUCAUAUUUCGACGUAUUAAAAAAAAUAGUGUCAUCACAAAAUUGUAAUGACUCCAUGGCAUUUAUCAUAAAAUUAAGUAGUUCAAAUGAGGCUCACUGCAUAUUACUAUACAGGAGAAAACAAAGGACUGAAAUACAUAUGUAC